rnacentral:rRNA from 1 species
AGAGUACGUGAAACCGCUUAGAGGUAAACGGGUGGAUCCGCAAAGUCGGCCCGGGGAAUUCAACUUGCCGUUUGGGCGGCGUACGUUGGGCAAGGGAUCCGUAAGGACCCUCCUGGCGUUCGGCUGCUAUCGGCGCGUGCACUUUCCUCGGGUAUAGCGCCACGACCGGUUUCGGGGCAGUCAGAAGCCAGUCGGGAAGGUAGCUUCCCCCUCGUGGGGAAGUGUUAUAGCCCGGCCAGGUCGGCUCGUCUCGAGACCGAGGAUUUGCCGCGCCUCACUUUGCCCGCGGCUCUCUUCCUGCGUUCGACUGGGGAAGCACUGCUUGCAGUUCUCCCCGACCGCGUGGGUUGAUUUCGGUCGGAAGCAAGGGGGCGCUUCGGGUCAGUGGCGAAUCGGUCGGUCCUCCACCCGAC